rnacentral:rRNA from 1 species
UACAGAGGUCCCAAGCGUUGUUCGGAUUCAUUGGGCGUAAAGGGUGCGUAGGCGGCGCGGUAAGUCGGGUGUGAAAUCUCGGGGCUUAACUCCGAAACUGCAUUCGAUACUGGCGUGCUUGAGGACUGGAGAGGAGACUGGAAUUUACGGUGUAGCAGUGAAAUGCGUAGAUAUCGUAAGGAAGACCAGUGGCGAAGGCGGGUCUCUGGACAGUUCCUGACACUGAGACACGAAGGCCAGGGGAGCAAACGGG